rnacentral:rRNA from 1 species
AGUGAACGCUGGCGGCGUGCCUAAUACAUGCAAGUCGAACGGAGUUGCGCACGGGUGAGUAAUAUAUAGCUAAUCUGCCCCUUGGCGGAGGACAAAAAUUUGAAAUGACUGCUAAUACCCCAUAGCAAGGGAUGAGACUAUAUCGUAUCAGCUUGUCGGUGGGGUAACGGGCUACCGAGGCUAUGACGCGUAACUGGUCUGAGAGGAUGAUCAGUCACAUUGGAACUGAGACACGGUCCAAACUCCUACGGGAGGCAGCAGUAUGGAAUAGUGCGCAAUGGGGGAAACCCUGACGCAGCAACGCCGCGUGGAGGAUGACACUUUUCGGAGCGUAAACUCCUUUUGUUAGGGAAGCGGUACCUAACGAAUAAGCACCGGCUAACUCCGUGCCAGCAGCCGCGGUAAUUC